AUUGAACGCUGGCGGCAUGCUUUACACAUGCAAGUCGAACGGCAGCACGGGCUUCGGCCUGGUGGCGAGUGGCGAACGGGUGAGUAAUAUAUCGGAACGUACCCAAGAGUGGGGGAUAACGUAGCGAAAGUUACGCUAAUACCGCAUACGAUCUAUGGAUGAAAGCGGGGGAUCGCAAGACCUCGUGCUCCUGGAGCGGCCGAUAUCUGAUUAGCUAGUUGGUGAGGUAAAGGCUCACCAAGGCGACGAUCAGUAGCUGGUCUGAGAGGACGACCAGCCACACUGGAACUGAGGCACGGUCCAGACUCCUACGGGAGGCAGCAGUGGGGAAUUUUGGACAAUGGGCGCAAGCCUGAUCCAGCAAUGCCGCGUGAGUGAAGAAGGCCUUCGGGUUGUAAAGCUCUUUUGUCAGGGAAGAAACGGUAGGGGCUAAUAUCCCUUGCUAAUGACGGUACCUGAAGAAUAAGCACCGGCUAACUACGUGCCAGCCGCCGCAGUAA
rnacentral:rRNA from 1 species